rnacentral:lncRNA from 1 species
AUGUUAGAUCCAGGCUCACCCAGUUUCUAUCUGGAAUUACAUGAUUUAGAGUUACUUACUAGGGCUAGACUACUUCACACCACUCCUUUUGCUUCUUUCCAUCCCUUCCACCGAGAACUUCUUUCUCCCUGGCCCCACAGAGUUUCCGGUCAUCCUUCUGACACUCUCAUGGAAACCAUCUGCCUUCUCAAUUGGGUUUGUCUGAAGCAAGGUUCAUCCUGUAUUCUUUGUCUCUCCCUGAGUCGUCAUAAGCUUGGUCCAAAGUUCAUUCACUACAACGCUCUCCUAGAUUCCCUGGUCUCAGAUGCCCACUCAGGUCAUGUUCUGGAAUUUUACUGCACGUGUGGCAGGAGCAGGAAACUUAAGGCAUGAAGGCGGUGACACACGUGACACUCCUGCCUGCUGGCAGCUGAGCCCUCACCCUCCA